UGCGGAGGAUCAUUAUCGAAUAAACAUUUGAUAGGCUGUUGCUGGCCCUUCUAAGGGUAGUGUGCACGCUUGUCAUUUAUUUAUUUAUUUUUUUCCACCUGUGCACUCUUUUUGUAGACCUAGAGAAAGCAAAUUGUCUUGAGCAAUCAGGAUGUCUCUUCUAGGUUCUAUGUUACUCACAUACUCCUACGAAUGUAAUAGAAUGUUGAUCUGGGUCUUUGAUGCCCAUAAAGUUAUAUACAACUUUCAGCAAUGGAUCUCUUGGCUCUCGCAUCGAUGAAGAACGCAGCGAAAUGCGAUAAGUAAUGUGAAUUGCAGAAUUCAGUGAAUCAUCGAAUCUUUGAACGCAUCUUGCGCUCCUUGGUAUUCUGAGGAGCAUGCCUGUUUGAGUGUCAUUAAAUUCUCAACCACACACCUGGUGUGGCUUGGAUUUGGGUUGUUGUGGGCUUUUUUUUUGUAGUCUGCUCCCCUGAAAUUAAUUAGCGGUACCUUGGUGGAACUGUCUACAGGUGUGAUAAUUAUCUACAUCCUAGACAUCUGCUGGAAUGCUGCUUUCUAAACCCUUACUUGACAAUCUUGACCUCAAAUCAGGUAGGACUACCCGCUGAACUUAAGCAUAUC
rnacentral:sRNA from 1 species